UCCAGACUCCUACGGGAGGCAGCAGUGAGGAAUAUUGGUCAAUGGUCGGGAGACUGAACCAGCCAAGCCGCGUGAGGGAUGAAGGUACAGAGUAUCGUAAACCUCUUUUGUCAGGGAACAAAGGCGGGGACGCGUCCCCGGAUGAGUGUACCUGAAGAAAAAGCAUCGGCUAACUCCGUGCCAGCAGCCGCGGUAAUACGGAGGAUGCGAGCGUUAUCCGGAUUUAUUGGGUUUAAAGGGUGCGCAGGCGGAAGAUCAAGUCAGCGGUAAAAUUGAGAGGCUCAACCUCUUCGAGCCGUUGAAACUGGUUUUCUUGAGUGAGCGAGAAGUAUGCGGAAUGCGUGGUGUAGCGGUGAAAUGCUUAGAUAUCACGAAGAACCCCGAUUGCGAAGGCAGCUUACUAAACUGUGACUGACAUUGAUGCUCGAAAGUGUGGGUAUCAAACAGGAUUAGAUACCCGGGUA
rnacentral:rRNA from 1 species